rnacentral:lncRNA from 1 species
AUGCGCGGUGCGGCCCCUCAGCCGGUCGGGCCCGGCGCGCGCGAGGAGCCGGUGCCUUCUGGAAUCUUCCGUGCGCAACGUCUGCUCACCCGGCUGCGUGGGCUUGGGGCUCGGCCCGGUCUCCGCCUAGAGCGCCCGGCGGGAGCCACGGGCUUUUAUCACCCGCCGCCUGCGUCUGUGCUCCAGUGGCCGCAACUGCCCCGGCGGCUGUUCUGGAAGAGAUCUGAGAGCCGGGUGGCCUGGGUCGUGAGAACCCCGCACCUCUCGCGUUGCGGUGAAGAAGAACCGUUAUUGCCAACGGUGACUCACCCCGUGUUAAAAUAACGAGUUAAAUAAAAUGUUCCGUGGUUGGAAACUUGUCCUGGGAAACUCUGACGGGGGCGAAGUGAGGAAACUUGCUAGUAUGGAAAGCAGCACAGCAGUGUUACGUACGCUUAUAUUCAUUCAAACGUUCAGAUGUUUAAUGGCCGCUUUCUGUGUGAGGCGUUGUGCUUAGCGCUUUAAUCCUAGAGAAAUUUAGAAAGUGUUUAAAACUUCUAACAAACCUUGUACAUUUGGGGAAGGGGAGAUGUGGAAGUAGAGAAACUGCUGCAAAACUAAUAUUCCAGGUUAUAUUGGUACAUUAUGGCAUAAGUACAAGUAGAACUGAAGUUCCACUCACCUUAUAAUCUGAAAUAAUGCAUACGGAUAAAUAUGUCCAAACCUUGAAAUCAUUUGGCCAAACUGUCAUACUGAAUAAAAUCCUUGCAGGGUCUCCCAUCUUUCUAGGGCUCUUCUGGUAUAGGAAUUUAAGAACAAUGAGAGUCGAGAAAGAGAAAAUGUCUAGAAAUAUUGGGUUGGCCAGAAAGUUCCUUUGGUUUUAAAGUAAAAAUAAAAGAUACAUAUUUCAUUUUCACCAAGAACUUUAUUGAACAAUGUAUUCACCGUUUUGUUCCACUACCUUCUGCCAUUUUUCAGGCAACUUUAUAAUUCCGUCUUCCCAAAACUUUUUAUCUUUGUGAGCAAAGAACUGUUCCAGGUGCCUUUUACAGUCUUACAGGGAUUUGAAAUUUUUACCAUUAAGAGAAUUUUGUAAAGACCUAAAUAAAUGGAAAUCCGAAGGUGCAUACGGCGGAUGAAUCAGAACUUCCCAGCCAAGCUGUAACAGUUUUUGCCUGGUCAUCAAAGACACAUGCGGUCUUGCGUUAUCCUAAUGGAAGAUUAUGCGUUUUCUGUUGACUAAUUCCAGACGCUUUUCGUCGAGUGCUGCUUUCAGUUGGUCUAAUUGGGAGCAGUACUUGCUGGAAUUAAUCGUUUGGUUUUCCGGAAGGAGCUCAUAAUAGAGGACUCCCUUCCAGUCCCACCACAUACGCAACAUCACCUUCUUUGGAUGAAGACAGGCCUUUGGUAUGGUUGGUGGUGAUUCAUUUUGCUUGCCCACGAUCUCUUCCAUUCCGCAUUAUUAUACAGUAUCCACUUUUCAUUGCCCAUCACAAUUUGUUUUAAAAACGGAACGUUUUCGUUAUGUUUAAGUAGAGAAUCGCAUGUGGAAAUAUGGUCAGGAAGGUUUUUUUGGCUUAACUCACGUGGAACCCAAACAUCAAAGCAAUUAACAUAACCAAGCUGGUGCAAAUGAUUUUCAGUGCUUGAUUUGGAUAUUUUGGGUUAUGUCGGCUAUCUCACACGUGGUAUAAUGUUGAUUGUUCUCAAUGUCUCGAUUUGAUCGCUACCAUCUUCAACUAGUCUACCCAACCGUGGAGCAUCGUCCAGCGAGAAAUCUCCCACACGAAACUUCGCAAACCACUUUUGACAUGUUUGAUCAGUCACAGCACCUUCUCCAUACACUGCACAAAUCUUUUUUUGCAUUUCAGUUGCGUUUUUACCUUUCUUGAAAUAAUAAAGCAUAAUAUGCCAAAAAUGUUGCUUUUCGGCAACAUUUUGCAUUUCGGCAAAAUGGCUACACAAAAAUUCACCAAUUUUGAUGAGUUUUUUUGUUUGUUUGUUUUGUUUUGUUUUGCGGUACGCGGGCCUCUCACUGUUGUGGCCUCUCCCAUUGCGGGGCACAGGCUGCGGACGCGCAGGCUCAGCAGCCAUGGCUCACAGGCCCAGCCGCUCCGCGGCAUGUGGGAUCUUCCCGGACCGGGGCACGAACCUGUGUCCCCUGCAUCGGCAGGCGGACUCUCAACCACUGCGCCA